rnacentral:miRNA from 1 species
UGUAUGCAUGUAUGUGUGAGUGUGCAUGCAUGUACACACAUAAGUGCACUUACACACACACACACACACACACACACACACACACACAC